UAAUACGGAGGGUGCAAGCGUUAUCCGGAUUUACUGGGUUUAAAGGGUGCGUAGGCGGGAAAAUAAGUCAGUGGUGAAAGCACCGGGCUCAACUCGGUAACUGCCAUUGAUACUGUUUUUCUUGAAUACGAUUGAGGUAAGCGGAAUGUUGCAUGUAGCGGUGAAAUGCUUAGAUAUGUUACAGAACACCAAUUGUGAAGACAGCUUACUAAGUCGUGAUUGACGCUGAGGCACGAAAGCGUGGGGAGCAAACAGG
rnacentral:rRNA from 1 species